AUGAUUUUUUCUGUGUUGGUGUAAUGUACUCAGAGUAACAUUACAAGCAUCAUUUCACCUGAGUACAUUAAACCAACACAGAAAAAAUCAUGAUUAUUAUUA